GUCUGGUCUCUGGCUGGUCUUGGACCUGCAGGACCAAACAUUUAGCAUCCACCCAGGGUUCAUCAUCAUGACGGAUCAAUACCCUGCUGUGGGGUCAGGGUCUCACCUUUAAACUGCAUCAGGUGAUUCAUCAGCCGCAGCUGUUGGGUGGCGGUACUGAACUCUCCCACCAACACGCCACUGCUGCCUGAGAACACACACACACACACACACACACCUGCUGAUUAAUGGGAACAUCACGACUGUACAGCAGAGCAUCAGGUGAUUAACGGCACCUUGAAACUGGAUCAGUUCUAUAGAAGCCAUUCUCUCCCCGUUCCGAAAUGAAACUGGACCCUGAAAAAAACACAAUGAUUUCUGAAAAUACAAAACAUAUUUCUCAAAUACAAACAAAUAGUAUUUACAAAACAGCAAAACCUGAGCAAGGUGUAAAUAACAUUUACAGUACCAAUAGUGCAACUAGUAUUAGUACUUGGAUUUUGUAUCCACUGCUACAGUUGGAGUGUCUGUAACAGCAACAUGUCUGUCUCCCCACAGGAACCCCCUCAGAAUACACUUCCUUUUGUUUACUGUCAGUACCAGACAGUAAACAUGCUACAGCUGUGCGUGUUUCAGCCUCCAUCACCUGACCGAGAGCUCUGGCGGCGACCCAGACGGCGUCGUAGGCGAAGGUGUGGAGCUGGCUGACCUUUGACCCCUCCUGUAUCACUUGUCUGAGGUAGGCGUCCUGGUAGUCCUGAGGAGUCUGCAGAGACACAUCCGCACGGGAUGUUUAGUAAAACACGGCACACAGAAAAAACAACUUAUUCGCUUUUUCUGCAGUUUUCAGCUACAUCUCAUUGUCUUCAUCAGCGGAUGGAGUUUGUUUGUUUGUACUAUAAUAAAAUGGUCUGGAAGUCGUGCAAGAGGAAGGGUCAGGUGGGGUCACUAGAAUUUUUCCUCUGAGAACCUUAAAGAUCUCGGGUUGGGUAUCUAAAACGUACCAAAUUUCCAUAAGCAAUGGAUUUUUUAUUUAUUUUACCUUUAUUUUACCACGUCAGAAAUCCAUUGAGAUUUUUAAUCUCUUUUACAAGGAUGUCCUGGCCAAGAUGUGAAACAGCACACAGUGCAAGGUGCAAACAAGGCAUUACAUGUACAGCAGCAUUAUUCACAAGAGUAACAGUAUUAUUAAAUUAUUUACAACAAAGUAUCAGAUAAAAAAACAUAAAAGCACAAUGAAAUUUAAACAUAUCAUAAUUUGACUAAAUGUUACAGGUGCAAGAUGUGUUUAAAACCUCUGACAGUUUUUGUUUAAAACUGGAUACAGGAAUAAGAGACUCCAACUUCAACUUGAGCUGCAGAUCAUUCCAAGACCAUAGGCCAAAAUAGAAUAGACUCAUUUUUCCUGACUCUAUACGCACCAUGGGCACCAAACCGCAGCCACCUACUGGCCCUGACACUGUGUGUGUUCUGGAGGGCAAUAAAUUUACAGUAGAUAUAUGAUGGCAAUUUUCCUGAAAAUGGCUUUGUAUAUGAAAAUAUACCAAUGCUUCAUCCUUCGAAUAUUGAGUGAAGUAAAUCCAGCCAGGGUAUAUAAAGUACAAUGGUGAGUCCUAUAGGGUGAACCUGUUAUAUACCUCAAAGCAGCAUGGUAAAUGGGAUCCAGUUUAGCUAAGGUAGUGGGACAAGCAAAUCUAUAGAUGGCGUCUCUGUAGUCCAGCUGUGAUAAAAACAAACUUGUUACAAGCCUUACAGGAAGAAAUAGAAAAGCAUGUUUUCAAUCUACUCAAAAAACCUAGAGCAAAUUUGAGCUUUUUUUUAUCAAAUAUGUAGUGUGAUGUUUAAAAUGAAGGUCUUUAUCCAGCCAAAUACCAAGAUAUUUGUAUGUGUCUACGACUUCUAUGGUAUCACCCUCCAGAGUUUUAAUAGGAGGAAUGGUUACAGCAGAAUUAUGAGAAAACAACAUAACUUUGGUUUUGCUAGUAUUCAUGACUAAUUUUGAAUCACGAAGAGCAUUUUGUAAGGUGAUAAAAUCAGUCUGAAGAUUUGAGUGUACUGCAUCUAGAGAGGGUGCUGACGAAUAUAGAAUUGUAUCAUCUGCAUAUAUUUGGUACGAGGAGAAUUUAAUCUGAUCACAUAUUUGAUUAAAAUAGAUUAAAAAGAACAAGGGCCCUAAAAUAUACCCUUGUGGGACCCCCUUGUUCAGUGUGACCGCAUCAGACAAAACAGGGCCAAACCGAACAAACUUAAUGCGUUUUGUUAAGUAGCUGUUUAUCCAACUAACCAUAUCUGUACUAAAGCCAAGUUUUUGUAUGAUAUUGAUGAGGUGACAGAGAUCAACGUUGUCAAACGCCUUGGUCAGGUCAAUAAACAAUGCUAAACAAGCAUGUUUACUUUCAAGUGCUGUUUUAACAUCAUCUAUUACUUUUGAAGUUGUUGUGAUUGUACUGUGUCCUGCCCUGAAACCAGAUUGAAAAUAGUUAAGAAUGUUGUUUGUUUAAAGUAACUGUUUGAACUGGACAGACACCAAUGACUCAAAUGCUUUUGCUAGAACUGAAAGAUUUGAAAUAGGUCUGUAGUUGUUCAUGUCUGUGGGAUCACCUGAUUUAAGUAAAGGAAUCUUAUUAAGGCCA